rnacentral:lncRNA from 1 species
AUGGGUACUCCAUUUUAGAUAGAGUACCGGUACCGGGUACGUACCGGGUACCGGUACGCGUAUGGUACUCCCUUGGUACGCACCGACGCCGUACCUAGAUUUUUUUUUUGUUUUGUGCAAUGGGUACGCGCGUGGUACACCUGUGGUACACGCAUGGUACACCAAUUCAAAAAAACACAAUUUUUUUCUCCUUUUUCUUUUAUUAUUAGUUUUUUUUAUAGAAAGAUUUAUGUUUUUUAUUUGUUUAUAAUAUAAAAGUAGCAACUAUUGCUAAAAACAAUAACAAAGUAGCCGCCGAAAUUAUUCAUUCAUUCAUUGAAAAGGAAUAAGCUCAAUUCAAAGACUAACACUAACUAGAGGUCGCUCUUUUUAGUAAUGAUGAAGAGAGAAAUAAUUGACUCUUCUUGAGCUAGUUGCUUUUUAAUUUCAUAUUUUGAUGUUUCGAACAAUUUAAAUUACUUUUAAAGUGUGGUGUGAUAUUUUUUAUGUUUAAUUAUUUGUUUUAACAAUAUAAUUCUAUUAUUUGAUAUAUAUAAUUAUAUUUAAAAAAAAUUUAUAGGGACGUACCCGUACCUUAAUUUUUCUAAAAAUGACGUACCCCGUACCAGUACCCGUACCGGAUACCGGUACCGUACCCGCACCCGGGCAACAUAG